rnacentral:rRNA from 1 species
UACGUAGGUGACGAGCGUUGUCCGGAUUUACUGGGCGUAAAGAGCGCGCAGGCGGUCGUUCAAGUCGAGUGUGAAAGCCCCCGGCUCAACUGGGGAGGGUCACUCGAUACUGAUCGACUCGAAGGCAGGAGAGGGUAGUGGAAUUCCCGGUGUAGUGGUGAAAUGCGUAGAUAUCGGGAGGAACACCAGUGGCGAAGGCGACUACCUGGCCUGUUUCUUGACGCUGAGGCGCGAAAGCUAGGGGAGCAAACGGGG